CCUACGGGAGGCAGCAGUGAGGAAUAUUGGUCAAUGGUCGGGAGACUGAACCAGCCAAGCCGCGUGAGGGAGGAAGGUACAGAGUAUCGUAAACCUCUUUUGUCAGGGAACAAAGGCGGGGACGUGUCCCCGGAUGAGUGUACCUGAAGAAAAAGCAUCGGCUAACUCCGUGCCAGCAGCCGCGGUAAUACGGAGGAUGCGAGCGUUAUCCGGUUUUAUUGGGUUUAAAGGGUGCGCAGGCGGUCUGUUAAGUCAGCGGUCAAAGCCCGGGGCUCAACCCCGGCCCGACGUUGAAACGGGCAGUCUUGAGUUGGAGAAAAGUAGGCGGAAUGCGCGGUGUAGCGGUGAAAUGCAUAGAUAUGACGAAGAACUCCGAUUGCGAAGGCAGCAUACCGGCGCUCAACUGACGCGCAUGCACGAAAGUGUGGGUAUCGAACAGGAUUAGAUACCCUGGUAGUC
rnacentral:rRNA from 1 species